GCUCAGAGUAUAAGCCAAUGGAGCUUGGAAGGCUUCCGCAGAUGGUGUCCAUCAUACGUGGUGUUCUUAAGACCUUGAGUGUGGCUCGUGAAGCGAAGCAUUGAGUUUGCCGACCAGCUGUCGUGCGGGGGGUUCAGCUUGGGAGGGUUGGGUUUCGGUCCAACAGUUUUCCUUCUGUCCCCUUUUGAAUGGACGUUCAGAGCUCUUGGUCUAAUGCGGUUAUGCCCACCACAGCACGUUGUGAGGUCACCCACAGGCUCAACUGCCGAUCGCGCAUCCAGGACGAUGGCAACGAUGCGUUGUCGAUGAUGGCUCGAGAGAGACUUCACUCACACGCGUGUCUAGUCCUGGGUCGGGCGGCGACCGAGAUAAACCUGGUACGAUCCUCUUGCGACGAGCUGCUUUCUGGCCAGACCGACGCCCGGACGCCUCCACUGUGCCGGAAGCGUCAACCCCAGGCGGUGUGAACCCAGCUGCAUUAUGUAAGGUCUCUCAGCCGGGCGUUGGUCUGAGUGGUGUUAAGUCCAGCACCAUCGGUCACGUCUCGAAACACGGGCCAAGGAGUAUAGCAUGUGUGCAAGUCUAAGGGUCUCACAAAACCCGAAGGCGAAGUGAAAGCAAGACUGUGGCGGGGGAGCUACGGCAAACCCGCCGGCCUAGUGGCGCGUGCGUCGCCUGGCUUUUAGCAGAGCUGAUCCUGUUUUCUCGGUUAAUUCUUGGUGCAGGCGCAAGCUCCGGGCUCACGUACAACACUGGUCACGCCUCGCG
rnacentral:rRNA from 1 species